CCAACGUGGACAUCCUGUGAGGUUGCUCUCAUUUGGCUCUGUCCGUGCAGCAUAAGGGAGCGCAGCACUUCAGUGCAAUGACGUAUAAUCCCAUUCUGCGACGUUGGAAAGCAAUCAGGUCCCCAGCCCUUUGGCUGGUGUGGACUGGGCACUGCAUAUUCCUACAUCUUUCCAGAGCCAUCUGGCAAUUACUGGGGAGAAAAACCAUGCAGGGCACAUCU
ensembl:snoRNA SNORA73 Small nucleolar RNA SNORA73 family